UGAGCAAUCUGCCCUUCUCAUCGGAAUAAGCGUUGGAAACGACGUCUAAUGCCGUAUACGACCUCCUUUCGCAUGAUCGGAGGUGGAAAGCUCCGGCGGAGAAGGAUGAGCUCGCGGCCUAUCAGCUAGUUGGUGAGGUAACGGCUCACCAAGGCGACGACGGGUAGCUGGUCUGAGAGGAUGGCCAGCCACAUUGGGACUGAGACACGGCCCAGAUCCGUACGGG
rnacentral:rRNA from 1 species